CGCAGUAGUUUACUAAAUUAGUAUACGUGUACAAUUUAUGUUAUGUGAGCCCGCUUAGCUCAGAGGUUAGAGCAUCGCAUUUGUAAUGCGAUGGUCAUCGGUUCGAUUCCGAUAGCCGGCUUUUCUCCAUUUGUUUUAUUUUUUAGAUAAUUGAAAUCUAAAGUGAAAAGCUUCUUUGCCCGUUCCUAAAGGUCGCCGAGCCCCUUCCCCUUCGAUUA
rnacentral:tRNA from 1 species